GGGGUGGGGUUCAUCCCACCCAGACCACAGGGACCGAAAAUAAGAAAGGAUGUUUUUCAGAGGGAAGUGUUGGUGCUGGGCAGGAAGAACCGCAGAUGCCAGAUACGGGAUAUACUUUAUUCAGCUGGGUGCUGAAAAACAAUCUUGGAAAUUAGGAAACUGAAUGAGGCCUCAUUUCACACUCAGAAUGUGGGUUGCAAUAGUCACUUCCUCUGCUGCUUGGAAAGAAAGAAUUAUACUACCUUUUGAAUUUUGGAUUAAAAAGAGAGGUGUUGGCUUGUCAAACUACCGUGUAUUCCUCAAGACAUAUUUUUGUGGCUUCAUAAAAAUUCAAUAUAUAUUUCUAAAUUUAAACAUAUUUUGUUGCAACCUGGCCCUUGGACAAAAUGAGGCAUUGGCAGCUGAUGUUUAUGGCUUUCCAUAGAAACUUCCAGAUAAAAUUUACACAGCAUUUUACUGCAGCUAUUUCACAUAAAGCAGAGGAUUUUGCCACAAAACUGAAAGAAAAAAGAAACUGCAUUCUUACAUUUUUUAUAAAUCAAAAGGUAUAAAAAUAUCUACCUAAAAGAUAAAGGAGAUGAGAAACCCAUCCGUAAUGGAAAGAAAGCCUAUUUCAGCUUUGCCUUUUCUUUAAGUUCUUUGUUCCAUAUCUGGAAUGCAAUCGGAAUUUUAAUCUUUCCUUGGGUUCCUCCUGGAUUUGGGGAGAAAUUUCAAAUCUGCCUGUUUUGGGCUGGAUGUCUCCCAACGCCAGUGGAAGGAUCACACGGCACAGAGUGCUGUGCUUGCAGAAGCCCCACUUCUCAACCUCCAUCGCUUUAUGAAUUAGUUCACCGGAAAGAAAAGGAAGAAUCAACACUUUCAGAGAUGGAGACUGUUGAGCCACAGUAUCAGCUAGUCAAUGCUGAAUCCGACUUCUCCCUUUCUACAUUGCCUGAUAGAAGUCAUUGGGGGAUACUCUGGAGUCAAGGGAUUGGAUUGUGGAUUGCAUGGGUGGCUUUCCUCAGUUUCCUCAUCUUCUCCACAAGUUUCUACAUAUUGAAUGCAGAGCAGCCCUUCUUCAAAGGACUGAGCAGCCCUUCUUCAAAGGAACUGAGUCUGUAGCUCUGUGUGGAGCCAUGUGUAAACACUGAAACGAGACCUGCCACCUCCUACUACCUAAUGACCCUUUUCAUCUGAGAAGAUCAUUCCCUAGAAACGAACUCAUGCUGACUUCCAUGUUUUUUUAGAUUAGAUAUAUGGAGAAUUUUCCUUUCCCUUAGAAUUAAAAUCCUGCUUUCUAGUUUU